rnacentral:rRNA from 1 species
GAUGAACGCUAGCUACAGGCUUAACACAUGCAAGUCGAGGGGCAGCAUGAACUUAGCUUGCUAAGUUUGAUGGCGACCGGCGCACGGGUGAGUAACACGUAUCCAACCUGCCGAUGACUCGGGGAUAGCCUUUCGAAAGAAAGAUUAAUACCCGAUGGCAUAAUUCUUCCGCAUGGUAGAACUAUUAAAGAAUUUCGGUCAUCGAUGGGGAUGCGUUCCAUUAGGUUGUUGGCGGGGUAACGGCCCACCAAGCCUUCGAUGGAUAGGGGUUCUGAGAGGAAGGUCCCCCACAUUGGAACUGAGACACGGUCCAAACUCCUACGGGAGGCAGCAGUGAGGAAUAUUGGUCAAUGGACGAGAGUCUGAACCAGCCAAGUAGCGUGAAGGAUGACUGCCCUAUGGGUUGUAAACUUCUUUUAUACGGGAAUAAAGUGAGGCACGUGUGCCUUUUUGUAUGUACCGUAUGAAUAA